rnacentral:rRNA from 1 species
UACGUAGGGUCCGAGCGUUGUCCGGAGUUACUGGGCGUAAAGCGCGCGCAGGCGGCGGUAUAAGCAUGGCGUGAAAGCCCAGGCUCAACCUGGGAGGGUCGUCGUGGACUGUACCGCUUGAGGGCGGUAGGGGCUGGUGGAAUGCCUGGUGUAGUGGUGAAAUGCGUAGAGAUCAGGCGGAACACCCGUGGCGAAGGCGGCCAGCUGGGCCGUCCCUGACGCUGAGGCGCGAAGGCGUGGGGAGCGAACGGG